AACAUCACUUUAAGUCUGUACU
rnacentral:miRNA from 1 species